rnacentral:rRNA from 1 species
GAUGAACGCUGGCGGCGUGCCUAAUACAUGCAAGUCGAGCGAACAGACGAGGAGCUUGCUCCUCUGACGUUAGCGGCUGACGGGUGAGUAACACGUGGAUAACCUACCUAUAAGACUGGGAUAACUUCGGGAAACCGGAGCUAAUACCGGAUAAUAUAUUGAACCGCAUGGUUCAAUAGUUAAAGACGGUUUUGCUGUCACUUAUAGAUGGAUCCGCGCCGCAUUAGCUAGUUGGUAAGGUAACGGCUUACCAAGGCAACGAUGCGUAGCCGACCUGAGAGGGUGAUCGGCCACACUGGAACUGAGACACGGUCCAGACUCCUACGGGAGGCAGCAGUAGGGAAUCUUCCGCAAUGGGCGAAAGCCUGACGGAGCCACGCCGCGUGAGUGAUGAAGGUCUUCGGAUCGUAAAACUCUGUUAUUAGGGAAGAACAAAUGUGUAAGUAACUAUGCACGUCUUGACGGUACCUAAUCAGAAAGCCACGGCUAACUACGUG